rnacentral:lncRNA from 1 species
CCUCAACGCGUGCGAGAGGCAGCGAUGGGGCCGGCGGGGGCUCAGGCACAUCCCUGCUCCCAGACUGGGGGAGCCUGGCGAUAUCCAAACAGUCCCUGAGCUGGGACCCGCUACCCCCUCGUGUCCGUGUGCUGCCCGUGAAGUCCUUGCUCCGUGUCCCCGUCGCCCGGCCCGCUGGGCUCCUUGAUCUUAGCAAUACAGGUAGUGUCCCAGGAACCCGCAGCCCCGCUCCAAGAACCUCCCACAGCCCUGUUAGCUCAUAAAGCUGGCCCUUUAUUUUGCUAUUACAUGCCUUAAUAUAUGUUUUAUGGAAAUUAUACAUUUAUAAUAUAUAUAUAUAUAUAUAUAUAUAUUUGUUUUUUCUCUUCUUUUCUGGGAGGUAGUUUUGUGCUAAUUUUUUCUCGCAGGGUUGUUGGCACCAGCCCUGCCCAUGAGUUAUGAUAGCAGAUUCUUUGCCAAAUUAUCAGAGGCGGGGGGGAAGAAACUAUUUAAAAAUAUAUAUAUUUUUUCUGCUUUUAUUAAAAGCAAAUUUAUUUAAAAUAAAAUAUGAAGAGAACUGUAAGUUUUCAGCAGCGAUGUGUUUAUUUCCCUGUGGCGGAAGGCAGUGGCGCCGGCUGGCGCCAACCCCUCAGCCCGUGUAAAUCGGGGCGCUCAACUCCCUGCGGAGCGAACCCCCUUUACACCGGCUGCAGGGGGGAAUCGGGCCCAGCGGACCCCCGGGGGUGCUGCCCCGUCCUGCAGCCGGGAGGGAGGCCCGGGCCCCAGCCGUUUGCCCAAUGCACUAGGAUCCCACGACUGCAGUAUUGUGCACCCGGGUUUUUUUUAACUGUUGUUUUAAUUCUUAAUUUUAUUUUGGUUAUUAUUUUUCAUAACACUUCAUAUACCAGUGACUUGUAACCGAGAAAGGAUUUGCAUCGGGAGGAAAUCUAUUUAUGCAUUUGGGGGGGGGAAGGGGGGCAUUUGUUUUCUGGGAUUUUUUGCUAGUGUUAGAGAAAUAAAAGUAUCUAAGAAACAAUGCA